rnacentral:tRNA from 1 species
GCCCUCGUAGCUCAGAGGAUAGAGCGUCGGUUUCCUAAACCGUGCGUCGCAGGUUCGAUUCCUGCCGGGGGCA